UCACCUCUGCAGGCUGGCAGCCCCCAGGCUGGGCUGGGCGAAUAUCUCUUUGAAAGGCUCACCCUCAAGCAGGACUAGAAGC
rnacentral:pre_miRNA from 1 species